GUGCUUGGGCGAGAGUAGUACUAGG
rnacentral:ncRNA from 3 species